GGGCAUAGCUCAGUGGUAGAGCACAUGCUUAGCAUGCAUGAGGUCCUGGGUUCAAUCCCCAGUACCUCCA
rnacentral:tRNA from 1 species